rnacentral:rRNA from 1 species
AACGAACGCUGGCGGCAGGCUUAACACAUGCAAGUCGAGCGCCCGCAAGGGGAGCGGCAGACGGGUGAGUAACGCGUGGGAAUCUACCCAUCUCUACGGAAUAACGCAUGGAAACGUGUGCUAAUACCGUAUACGUCCUUCGGGAGAAAGAUUUAUCGGAGAUGGAUGAGCCCGCGUUGGAUUAGCUAGUUGGUGGGGUAAAGGCCUACCAAGGCGACGAUCCAUAGCUGGUCUGAGAGGAUGAUCAGCCACACUGGGACUGAGAUACGGCCCAGACUCCUACGGGAGGCAGCAGUGGGGAAUAUUGGACAAUGGGCGCAAGCCUGAUCCAGCCAUGCCGCGUGAGUGAUGAAGGCCCUAGGGUUGUAAAGCUCUUUCACCGGUGAAGAUAAUGACGGUAACCGGAGAAGAAGCCCCGGCUAACUUCGUGCCAGCCGCCGCAGUAACAC